UCCCUGGUGGUCCAAUGGUUAAGAGUCUGAGCUCCCAAUUCAGGGGGUCCAGGUUCGAAUCCUGAUCAGGGAA
rnacentral:tRNA from 1 species